rnacentral:rRNA from 1 species
CAUGCAGUCGACGGUAACAGGCCGCAAGGUGCUGACGAGUGGCGAACGGGUGAGUAAUGCAUCGGAACGUGCCCAGUCGUGGGGGAUAACUGCUCGAAAGAGCAGCUAAUACCGCAUACGAUCUAUGGAUGAAAGCGGGGGACCGUAAGGCCUCGCGCGAUUGGAGCGGCCGAUGUCAGAUUAGGUAGUUGGUGGGGUAAAGGCUCACCAAGCCAACGAUCUGUAGCUGGUCUGAGAGGACGACCAGCCACACUGGGACUGAGACACGGCCCAGACUCCUACGGGAGGCAGCAGUGGGGAAUUUUGGACAAUGGGGGCAACCCUGAUCCAGCAAUGCCGCGUGCAGGAAGAAGGCCUUCGGGUUGUAAACUGCUUUUGUACGGAACGAAACGGUCUGGGUUAAUACCCUGGGCUAAUGACGGUACCGUAAGAAUAAGCACCGGCUAACUACGUGCCAGCAGCCGCGGUAAUACGUAGGGUGCGAGCGUUAAUCGGAAUUACUGGGGCGUAAAGCGUGCGCAGGCGGUUUUGUAAGACAGGCGUGAAAAUCCCCCGGGCUCAACCCUGGGAAUGGGCGCUUGUGACUGCAAAGCUGGAGUGCGGCAGA